CGCCGAGUUCAGGGAGACCGUGCGGUAG
rnacentral:sRNA from 1 species